GACGAACGCUGGCGGCGUGCUUAACACAUGCAAGUCGAACGAUGAAGCUGGAGCUUGCUCCGGUGGAUUAGUGGCGAACGGGUGAGUAACACGUGAGUAAUCUGCCCUUGACUCUGGGAUAACUGCGGGAAACUGUAGCUAAUACCGGAUACGACACCUUCGGGCAUCCGAUGGGUGUGGAAAGAAUUUCGGUCAAGGAUGAACUCGCGGCCUAUCAGCUAGUUGGUGAGGUAAUGGCUCACCAAGGCGACGACGGGUAGCCGGCCUGAGAGGGUGACCGGCCACACUGGGACUGAGACACGGCCCAGACUCCUACGGGAGGCAGCAGUGGGGAAUAUUGCACAAUGGGCGAAAGCCUGAUGCAGCGACGCCGCGUGAGGGAUGAAGGUCUUCGGAUUGUAAACCUCUUUCAGUAGGGACGAAGCGAAAGUGACGGUACCUAAAGAAGAAGCACUGGCUAACUACGUGCCAGCCGCCGCAGUAA
rnacentral:rRNA from 1 species